GAAGGUGGGGUUGGAAUAUAUCAUGAGUAUAGGUAAGAAGUAUAGCAUCUCCCUU
rnacentral:tRNA from 1 species